rnacentral:rRNA from 1 species
UACGAAGGGGGGCUAGCGUUGCUCGGAAUGACUGGGCGUAAAGGGCGCGUAGGCGGAUGGCACAGUCAGAUGUGAAAUUCCCGGGCUUAACCUGGGGGCUGCAUUUGAUACGUGUUGUCUUGAGUUCGGAAGAGGGUCGUGGAAUUCCCAGUGUAGAGGUGAAAUUCGUAGAUAUUGGGAAGAACACCGGUGGCGAAGGCGGCGCCUGGUCCGACACUGACGCUGAGGCGCGAAAGCGUGGGGAGCAAACAGG